GAAAACAGAAUGUUCAACUGGGAUCAUUUCUUGGAGGAAUCACUGUGAUCAUCUUACUGAUCUGCUUGAUUAUCUGUGCUCGGUGGUUAAAGUCAAAACAUCAAACUAAACAACAGACUCAGAUUCAAGCACAUGAAGAGCCGUUUGUUGAAGAGCCAGCAAGUAAAACAGAAGGAGAAGAAGAAAACAUCCAUUAUGAAGAGAUCAACUUGUUUUCACUGGGAUAUGAAGCAUCCUCUGAGUCAGUGCAGGACAGAGGACAGCAGCAGGAUACGGUGUAUUCACAGGUGAAAUUCAGUGAGCCAAAAACAGCUUAACAGAGGGUGGUGAUGGCCAACAGCAACACUUCUCUCAAGUAAAGAAAAAAUGAGAACUGUUGCAAAAUAACUACAUUAAGAAAGAGUGUUAAAAAAGAAAAACACACAUUGGAACUGUAAAUAAGUCAUUUUCACUCCACGGUUAAGUGAAAUAAAACUAAACAGCUCCUGGAAGCCGUUUUUUAUGUUCAGUGCAUUGUGCUAACGUCGUACAGGUGUUUUGAGAUUUUGAAUUCUAAUUAUUAAUCUGUGUAAAAAAAGAAGUUACAAACAUGACUUUUCUCUAUGCCUACAACAUUGUGCAAUGACUGCCUGCAGGAGCAAGUGGGGGUCAUAUGAUUUGGGGGUUUUCUCUGUAUAUAUUAUUGUAGGGUCAACCUUACAAUAUAAAGUGCCUUGAGGUGACUGUUGUUGUGAUGUGAUGCUUUAUAAAUAAAAUUGAAUUAAAAUUGAAUGUAAAAUUGUCACUUUCAGCCAACAGUCAGCUGGGAGUGCUGCUUCUCCUUGGGUGUAUCUUUUCCACUAUAAACUUUCACAGAAUUGCAAAGUGUCACCAAGAGAUGGCGCUUUUUUCAAAACAAAUUUGACUUGGAUAGUUACCAAGAGAAGAUUUUCUCAAUAUUAUUGUAGGGUGUUUACAUUAUAAUAUAAGGCACCUUGAGGUCACUGUGUGUUAUAUGAAUAAAACUGAA